CUUCUACUUAUAAUUUAGAGGCUAGAACUAGUCAUGUGUCCCCAUCUAAUUCAAGAACAAGGAAGAGCAAUCCUACAUUGUGCCUGUGAGGUAGGAAACCAGAAAUAGUCAGUGAACAUGUGAAUGACUGUUCACUUCCCCACUCCAGGGCCUGCGACCUUGCUGUUCUCUCAUCUUGGUAUGAUGUUCCUUCACCUCUGCACAGAGCUGGCUCCUUUUCAUCCUUUGGUUCUAGAAUUUCCCUUAGAGAACUUCUGUGGGCUUCGUCUGGGAUCCCAUUCUCCUCCGGGAUCCCCUCUCAUGAG
rnacentral:lncRNA from 1 species